AUAUUCCUUUAAAUAGUAGAAUAUUCCGUUUAAAAACUAACGGAGUUACCUGACACUGUCAGUAUAUUUCGUCAAAGUGGAUGGAAUAUUCUCCUUCUUUUCCAAUGGCUUCACCGGAAUCUGCCACCUGCCCCCGUUUGUGUUGCUAGUUUCUGGAAAAUUUUCUAAAGCUUAUAACUACUUAAUUUCUCAACCAAAUUUCUCGAAUUUUAUAUGGAUUUGAAGCUCUCAACUAGAAGAACACAAUCUUACCUAUUUGAGGUCCUAAAACCGACAGAAAGUGGUUGGAAAAGCCUUCAAAACCUCUGGCUAAACCUGUAACUUCAUGACCUUGAGUGAUCCGACGUUCAAACCACUCCAAAAUUGUUCCAAAAUGAUGGGGAAGUUAGAUGAGUACUUUCUUGAAUCUCAAAAUCAACUAAAUCACUCACAAUCACAUAGGAGGAAAUUGGACCCCUUGCUGGAGCUCGGGUCUCUCGAGUUCUACAUGUCCUUUAUUAAAGAAAAAGGCACCUCCAGGUUUGUGAAGUCGAGAGGAGCACGAGGAUGUUAUCCUUGUGCUUGAUCCGUGAGGAUUUGAUGGGUUUCUGCGUGGGUGGUCUACAAGUUGUACGAACGAGGAAAAAUUGAGAA
rnacentral:lncRNA from 1 species